CUAGAAUCGCGCCCGCACUCGUCAUCGGGGAGUAGCCGCCCUGCCGCCCGGCAGGGGUCCGCGCCAACACGCUUGGCCCUCAGGGGCCAUGGUCCGGACAGCCCCCAGCCUGGCAAGACCGCUGACUGCGCCGCCUCCGAAUGGGCCGGGGUCGCGGCGUGGUCAAGCUCCGGUCAUGCCGGCCCGUAUCGGAUU
rnacentral:sRNA from 21 species